AACGAACGCUGGCGGCAGGCUUAACACAUGCAAGUCGAACGCAUCCUUCGGGGUGAGUGGCAGACGGGUGAGUAACGCGUGGGAACGUGCCCUUCAGUUCGGGAUAACCCAGGGAAACUUGGGCUAAUACCGGAUACGUGCGAGAGCAGAAAGAUUUAUCGCUGAAGGAUCGGCCCGCGUCUGAUUAGCUAGUUGGUGGGGUAAUGGCCCACCAAGGCGACAAUCAGUAGCUGGUCUGAGAGGAUGAUCAGCCACAUUGGGACUGAGACACGGCCCAAACUCCUACGUGAGGCAGCAGUGGGGAAUAUUGGACAAUGGGCGCAAGCCUGAUCCAGCCGUGCCGCGUGAGUGAUGAAGGCCUUAGGGUUGUAAAGCUCUUUCGUCCGGGACGAUAAUGACGGUACCGGAAGAAGAAGCCCCGGCUAACUUCGUGCCAGCCGCCGCCGUAA
rnacentral:rRNA from 1 species